UAGGGAAUUUUCCACAAUGGGGGCAACCCUGAUGGAGCGACGCCGCGUGCAGGAUGAAUGCCUUCGGGUUGUAAACUGCUUUUAUCUGUGACGAAUAUGACGGUAGCAGAUGAAUAAGGAUCGGCUAACUCCGUGCCAGCAGCCGCGGUCAUACGGAGGAUCCAAGCGUUAUCCGGAAUAACUGGGCGUAAAGCGUUGCGUAGGCGGUACAGUAAGCGGAAUGUGAAAUCGUGUGGCUCAACCAUGCGGCUAUGCUCUGAACUGCUGAACUUGAGAAUGAGAGAGGUUACUGGAAUUUCUAGUGUAGGAGUGAAAUCCGUAGAUAUUAGAAGGAACACCGAUGGCGUAGGCAGGUAACUGGCUCAUUUCUGACGCUCAGGCACGAAAGCGUGGGGAGCAAACGGGAUUAGAUACCCCCGUAGUCC
rnacentral:rRNA from 1 species